rnacentral:rRNA from 1 species
AGAGUGUGAUCCUGGCUCAGAAUCAACGCUGGCGGCGUGCCUAACACAUGCAAGUCGAACGAGAAAGUGGAGCAAUCCAUGAGUAAAGUGGCGACCGGGUGAGUAACACGUGACUAACCUACCCUCGAGUGUGGAAUAACAUCGGGAAACCGAUGCUAAUACCGCAUAACAUCGCAAGAUCAAAGGAGCAAUCCGCUUGAGGAGGGGGUCGCGGCUGAUUAGCUAGUUGGCGGGGUAACGGCCCACCAAGGCGAAGAUCGGUAGCCGGCCUGAGAGGGCGCACGGCCACACUGGAACUGAAACACGGUCCAGACUCCUACGGGAGGCAGCAGUGGGGAAUUUUGCGCAAUGGGGGAAACCCUGACGCAGCAACGCCGCGUGGAGGAUGAAGCCCCUUGGGGCGUAAACUCC